AUAUAAAAUAAUAAAUUUUAAUAUUUGUGAUACUUACUAGCGAUUGUUUAACAGGAAAAUCGUAUUUCUGUCGUUUUUUCUUGAUGAUAUUCAAAGAAACGGCACCAUCCGCAAACGAGCUUUGAAAACACUCAUCAUUUACAAGAAAUCGGGAAAUAUUUAAAGAUCAUCGCCUACUCACUGGAAUCCUGGCUGAAAUACUCUGUGUCAUGUGGAUACUGCUGAGUGGUGUGGGAUUUGCUUUAGAGUCGUCAAAGAACAGCCUCUUCUUAGAUGUAAAGCGCUGCGGAAUUGUGCAUUUGCUAGAACUGCCGAUAUGUUUCAACAUAUGUGCCAACUGGCUGGAAUAUGUGCUCAAUCAGAUUGUGGAAUUUCACAUACAGUUGACGAAAUUUAUAUCUGAUGGAAGGUCAUUUAAUUUGGAAAGUCAUUCUCGUCUUUUUAACUUGCAAAAAAUGAUAGCGAUUGGAAUACAAUCUUUUUGCCUAACCUCGGACACUAAACAGACUACGCACGAAGAUCCAUCUGAUAUUCAUGACAACGAUGGAGAGCUGUAUCAAUUAAUUGUACGCCACGCAUCUCCAUGGACGUCACAAGCUAUAGAGUUGUGUAAUGCUUCAUUAUCGAAAGCAUUUGAAGUUAUAUACACGUCGCUUAGAACAAUUAAACGACUGUCAAAUAAAAGGGCUUUUGUAAAGUUGAUUGGAACAAAACGGGAACGCUUCAAAUCGCAUUCAAAUUCAAAAAAGAAAAACAUAUGUGGCCCGGUUCGACCAAUAACAAACCGGAAACGAAGUUUUCGAACAGAACAAUAUUUAAAUGAUUAUGAAAAGCGUGGAUCCAAUGAGAUAUGCAUCGGAAGGACUAAAAGAUUUCACAGAAAGUCAAUAUGGUCAAACGUUAGCAAUAUUUCAACGGCAAUCACAAUAUUUUAUAAUUUGAGUCCAAUAUUUCGUAUACAUGAAUUAACUGUGCAUAAAGCCAAUCAACAACAAAAGUCAACUUUACGCUAUCUUGGUAACGCAACAGUGUUGAAAACAACAACAAUUGCAAACACGCGUUUCAAAACAAAACGUGUAGUGUUUUCGCAGACAUAUUUUUAUGUGUUAACAAUUUUACGGUUUAUUUGUGCAUACGAUCGUCUCGUCUUGCCAAGCAUAACAGAUCUACAUUUGUACAUAUAUCUUUUUUGCAGGCUUGUAUAUUUUGUCUUUCUGCAUUCUGCGUGUUUGUGUCACAUAAGCAAGCAAACUGCGUGAUAAAUGGCAGUGUAUGUGAUUUGGUUAUUCCCGGAAGGUUUUCAGUUGAGGCAUCGAGUCAAAGUGCAAUUAAACCAUUGUAUCCAUGCCAUGAAAAUAAACGAAGCUCCUUUACCAAGAAAUCAGCUGCCUGUAAACCACUCUCUCAAGACGCUGAUAAAAUAGAUGCUGACGAUAAGUUUGAAGAAACACAUGGGAUUUUUAAGAAAGAUAUUCUUGCUAGUUUACGUAGAAAUGUCUGGUUACCAACCACCGAUUUCAUUGAUGGAUUCUCAACAUCAUUAUGGUUGUCUCCUGCAUUAAGCCCAGUGAUAAACAUCAUUAACCGACUGGCUGAAGGAAGAAGCGUGCAUCCCAAGGAGAGUAUGCGUCACGAACUUUUGCGCCUGUGUACAUUUAGAACUUACCCAACGCACGGGAAACCGUCGUGUCUAAGGCUUGCUAAGGCCGGUUUCUAUUACGCUAGUCAAGGUGAUGAGGUCAUCUGCUAUUGCUGUGCCAAACGUAUCAGUAACUGGAACGAAAGGGACGACCCGUUGCGCGCUCACGGACUUGUGUCCCCUAGCUGCCCUUUCUUGGUACGCAAUUCAGAGGUCAAUGAACCAGUCACAAACGACAGAAACGAGAGUUCCAAUUCACGGCUGAACCGAUUACUUCACUCACUAGAUGAUUUGGAUGACCAGACGGAAACGAGACGACCACAUAAUGGCCCUGAAGCUAGCGCGGAAGUUGCACCAUUGUCCACGAAACCACGAUCUAACACUAAAGAGCCUGCAAGUAAUCCCCAAAAUGGUGCCUGUGGGUACGCGGACGACACUACCACGGGCCGAUCCACGCGCGAGUUGCCUGUUACUGCUAGUCAGACGGCUGGAAUAUCUAAGUUUACUAGUUUACCAGUCCAACGAGCAAGAAGUUCCAUCGCUAUGGGCAGUUUUGCAUAUAGCAGUGCGGCCGAAGCACCAGUAACUGGGCCGAACACUAGACUUGAAAACGCGGCGCCCCCGCAAGAAGCAGAAUCAAUAGUACAGGAUGCCUCAAACAGGCGCGCAGACGAUAUCCGAGAAAAACUGCUUAGCGAAAACCGCGCCUUAAAAGCUCAGUCAAAAUGUCUGCGAUGUCGUAGAAACGGCGUGUGUAUCGCGUUCCUGCCGUGCGGUCACCUGGUUUCCUGUGAUGCGUGCAGCACCGACCCCAGCGCCCGGAAGUGCUUCUCGUGCGACGCAGUGGUGAAAGCCAGGAUCAAGGCGUUCAUUGCUUGAUUUGUUCACAUAUGUUUAAUAUCAAAACAAAAAGUAGACAAAUCUCACGCGAUACCAGUCACCAUUUAAGAGGAAGUAUUGACCAGUAGAUUUUAAAAUCUAAGUUAGUAAAACAUUCAAUUUCCGAACUCUGAUGAACGUCAAACGCUUACCUAUUUAUCUUUUUCUUAAACUUCAUUCAAAACCAUGCCAUUAGCUAGUUUAGUUAACUUGAUCUAUUUCGCUUUUCAAAUAUAUACUUAGUUUCGACAAGUGUAAUUUUAAAUACAUGAGUUAACCCGCUGGUCCAAAUAUUUCGAACAAAUUACCCUAAUCUAAAAUCAGAACUGAACAAAAUAAACAAUUUGUGCUUGUUUUUAUACUUUAGUUGGAUUUUAAGAUUAGGCAUUAAUAUCUACGAGAUAACACAUUGAACGAGUACAAUGAACUCAUCGGGAAAAUAAAUGUUUUGCAUUUCAAAAAUACAAUUUAUUCUUAUUUUUUGGAAUCUAUGAUCGAUUAAAUAGUAUAGAGAUAAUAGUACGUACAGUUGUACUUUCUUUCAAAAUGUGUAUAAGUAGCUGAUAAAUGGCGUAUCUUGUAACGAUGUGUUUUUAAAAUAUAUGUUACAAAGCCCAUAUAUUUUUACUGCAAAUUUUAAGCAAAUGGCAUACAUUUGUUGGUACAGCGAAGCAAACCUUACACGAAUUGGAAUUUGACAAUAUGGUUAUAUCUCGCGGUACAAAUAAACAAGUUGCGAUAUAUCGGUCUGUGAAUUAGUGAAAUUCUUACUCUCGUACUAGUCUUCAUUUAAGUCGAUUGUUGUAUAAAGCACAGUUGUGUGUUAUUAUAAAUAUAUAAAAAGUAUUAACUAUCCCUUUAUCUAUGUGUGUACACUCAAAUCGUUUACGGUCACGGCUCGUAACUUAUGACACGUAUAAAGUAUUUCAUAAUUCUCUAUCUCAGUUGUAUAUGUUCGUAUGUCAUUGUUAGUUUAAAUAACAUCAUUGUUUCUAAUACAUAAAUAAUGUCGCUUGGGAUGAAACCUGUUUAAAACAAAUGUCAGUAGUUUGUGUAAUAUUUAGUUGAUAUAGAAUAUGAAAUUACUGUACAUGUUUAUGUCUUUAAAGGCAUCAUCAAUUUGAUACUAGCGCGUUCACUGCAAGGUCAUUUGGGCCUUGCAGCAAAGCAGGUCUGCGAGACAGACUGGUUACUUUUCUAAGUGGAAGCAACUGUUGACGAAAAUGCAAAUCUAGAAAAACCGUUAGCUUUGUUGUUAUCACAAAUGUCUUAUAUUACAGCCUACAGUACCGGUAAUUACUUUACUUAUGUACUUAUUGUCAGUGAUGUUUUGAUUGCUGUAUCGAUAUUUAUUUUUAUUUUUUGCUGAUUCUAUAUAAAACGUGUAUUAAAAUCGUUUGUUAAUCCAUUCGUAUGCGAAUAGUGUUCUAAUGUUUUGCAAUAAAUGAGUCUUUCAUUUUUGAAGGUUUACUAAAAUGGUUGAAAUCGGCAUUAAUGGCGUUAUACGUUAAAAAUAUUGUUUAUGUCUUUUACUAUUUGUUUGUAUUAUUGUGCUAUCAUUUAUUAAAGAAAUAUACUUGCAAUACGAUGUUAUUACGA